rnacentral:rRNA from 1 species
GGACCCGCACAAGUAGUGGAGCAUGUGGUUUAAUUCGAAGAUACGCGCAGAACCUUACCAACACUUGACAUGUUCGUCGCGACUUUAAGAGAUUAAAGUUUUCGGUUCGGCCGGACGAAACACAGGUGCUGCAUGGCUGUCGUCAGCUCGUGUCGUGAGAUGUUGGGUUAAGUCCCGCAACGAGCGCAACCCUCACUUUUAGUUGCCAUCAUUUAGUUGGGCACUCUGAAAGAACUGCCAGUGAUAAGCUGGAGGAAGGUGGGGAUGACGUCAAGUCCUCAUGGCCCUUACGUGUUGGGCUACACACGUGCUACAAUGGCAAGUACAAGAGUCGCAAUACCGCGAGGUG